rnacentral:pre_miRNA from 1 species
CGGGGGAGGCCGGAUCCUGGGCUGUGUCCCUCAGCACCCUGGGCUCCUUGUGGGCCUGCGCUGUUGGAUUUGCGCUCCCGCCUCGCAGCCCCCU